UGUUGAAACCCCCUUCUCUACAAAAAAUACAUAAAUUAGCUAGGCAUGGUGGCACAUGCCUGCUGGUUCAGCUUCUGUGGAGACUGCAGUGGGAGGAUGGCUUGAGCCUGGGAGUUAGAGGCUGUAGGGAGCCGUGAUCAUGCCACUGUACUCCAGCAUGGGUGACAGAGACAGACAGUGUCUCAAAAAAUGAAUAUGGUGAAAUUUGGGUAGAGGAACAAUGAAAUCAUUAAUGCUUUAUGAAAAGGUUAUGGGGGCGAUGCCCCAAAGAAAUCACUGUUUUGUAAAUGCAUAAGUCAUUUUAAGUUGGGACAAGACAAUGUUGACUAAAAUGUAGGAAUUAGCUUGGUGUGGCGAGUGCCUGUAACACAGCUACUCGGGAGGCUGGUAGAAGAAUGGCUUUCAUUUUGGAAGCAGAGGUUGCAGUGAGCCGAGAUCGCACAACUGCAGUCCAGCUGGGCCACAGCAAGACUCUGUCUCAAAUAAAAUAAAAAAAAUAAAAUAAAUAAAAUACUGCUUCUCAAAAAAGCUUUGAUAUAAUCUUAUGAGGUAACAUCAUUGUUUUGCAACUAUAAUAUGUGUUCAAAAUAUUCUUCUAUGACCCCACAUUUCAUUAGAUAUAUUUUUUAACCAUUUUAAAACUGUUUUUCUCUGAAAUUUAUUGUGUUCAGUUUACAUUGAGGACGGCAUGCUUUCUAGUCUGUAUCAUACAUUGGAAACAUUUUCUGGUACCUGAUAAAUGAUUUUAGUUUGUUUCAAUGUGUACUUGAUAAAGAUAUCAAGGAACUUUUUCUUUAUGCUAACAUCAAAAUUUAGUUGAAGUAGCCUAUUAUUCCAUUUUCUUUCUUUAUGUCACCUGAUAAAAUGGUGAGCUGUGAGCUGCUAAGUAAACGUUCCCCUCAAGUUCCUCUGGUCCAUAAUAUUUUUUGCAGAUGUUCAAGGAUGGGCAGAAUUGACUUGGAACCUUGUUCCAGCAAAGCCCGUGUGUUCAAGAAGAAAACAUUUGUUCAGAUCUCAUUUGUAAUGCUGCUUCUCUUUCAGUGUUUUAAACACCUAUAGCUAGGGGUUCACAGUUGUGUGUAUUUUGAAUGUACUACUGUCAUUUUUCUGGGAAAAUAAUUACAUGUUUAGGAUUCAUGCCAUCAGGACCUUAGACAUUGAAAGAGACAUUUCAUUUGCUCAGGUGUAUAAAAUUGUCCUGGAAUGUUUUUUUUUCUUUCUUUUUUUGAGACAGGGUGUCACUCGGUCACCCAUACUUGCAUGCAGUGACACGAUCUUGGCUUAACGCAACCUCUGCCUCCCAGGCCCAAAUAUCCACCCCAGUCAGUUCUUAAAUGGCUGAGACCACAGAUGCACACCACCACGCCUGGCUAAUUUUUUGUACUUUUGGUGAAGUAUCUCCUGCUCGAAACAACAGUGACUCAACCAGUAAUGUACAGGCCUCUCCACUGAGCUCUACAAUCCUGUGUGCAGUUGUCUGCUCACCUCUCUGCUGGGACAUCAAACAGGCAUCUCCACCUUCACAUGUCCAAAAGUGACUUCCUAAACCCCCAAACACAUUCCCUUGCAGUCUGCACAUCUCAGAUGAGGGUGACUGUGUACGUCCGGAAACUUAGCCGAACUUGACAGCAUGUAUUUUAAAUAUGGGAAAUAAAUUACUUUAUUUGUAAGUGUUGUAAUUUGUAAUGUAAAGAGAAAUUUGCAUGUAUACAUGAAAGGACUGAGAAGAUACAUCACUUCUGAAAUUC
rnacentral:lncRNA from 1 species